UCCAGCUUUUCCCCCCAAAAUGUUUAGACCGAUGCACUUACCGCCUGUACUACGGCCAUAGAAUUCAAACUUUUUCCAAAACUAAACUGUCAAAUAUUUCUUUUUUAGAUCAACAGAUUGUAAUACGGAUCCCAGAUAAAAUUAAGACGUCUGGUUUUAAAUAGGAACCAGCCUACCUUGACUUUACCGUUUUUUCCAGACAAAAAGUUGUGUGCAGCUUUUACACUUAAAGUAAGAAAUGACUGUUUAAAAUUGCGCGAGUACUUUUACGCGCCGAACUGCAUUUUAUCAACAAGUAUAACCCAAAAGGUAAGAGCGCAAACACGUUGUGUGUGAGUUCGGAAUUUAACUGUAAUAAUUUCCGCAAUCGAUUUAAAUUAAGUUUACCGCCCGCAUAAACAAAAUUUCGAGCCGGAUAUCUACCCUUAGUGCCGGAUUUAUACCGCUUAGUGUUACCUUAUCGUUAAUUAAGAUACCUGUUACCGCUUCAAUAAACUGUAAGUAAUAUUUUAUACUUAUCGCUUGCGCCAUGGCCAAUGCUGUACAAAAGCUGGCUUCAUUCAAAAACCAACGUGAAUAAUAAAUAAUAAAUAUGCUUUAUUAUGCAUUUUGCUCGUCUAACCAAACUGCGACGAAUUUAGAGAUACUUCCAAAUUACACCCAGCUACUUUACGUGCUAAAUUUGAGCGAUUAGCCGAAAUAGAAAAGAAUUUCGCCGUCAUUCAAGAUAAUAUAAUCUCCACAAACGCAUUAGUUAUUCAAGAAGAUUGCUUAUCAACUUCUAGGGAGUAUUCUGCUUUCGAUGACCUCCUAGCUACAGUUCGCGCCGCUUAUUAAGAGCUGUAGAAGAUCGCAGUAAUGAACCAGCCGCUACCACGAAUGUAGCCAACCCUGCAGCUUUAAGAAAAUUACCGCAGAUAAAUUUACCAGUUUUCUCAGGAAAUAUUAGUGAAUGGCAAACUUUUCAUAGCCUAUUUUGUUCUCUUAUCCAUAAUAACUCCCAAUUGAGUACCAUAGAGAAAUUUCAAUACCUUAAAACUCAUUUGGAAAAGGAACCUUCCGCAUUACUGAGCAAUUAUACUCUAACUGAGAGCGGCUACGAGGAAGCCUUUAAAAUAUUACUCGAACGUUACAAUAACCCUAGUAGGCUAUAUCCAGUACCUGGAGACCCAUAGAGCCGCAACAUCUGCCUUAACUUCAACUUGUGUUGAAAAUUUAAGCGAUUUUCUAUUGUUUCAACUGUCUUAUCUCAACUUAGACGCCACAAUGCAAGUAUCGGCCAUAGGCCCUUGAGCUUUUUAACUCGUCGCCCUCGAGAAUAUAAACAUCACUAUUAUGCCCUGUUUGGGUGUAGGAAAAUUUCUACAAUGGUUUUUCGCAAUAAAACGCAUGUACUUCUUCGUGGACUGUAGAAUCUUUUUUAACCUUUCGCACUGCACGUGCUUUCAUUCUCCCACCAAAUCUCUCCUUCCUCUCACGACGGUUAGCGCGCGAAUAAAUUUAAUAUGAAAAUAUAAACUAAAUCUUAACAUUUCUCCCCACCUUGAACGGUUCGUUCAACAACAAUACGGUAAGUAAAUAUGUAUAACAAUUAAAAAUAGAAACGAGAACGAUAACUAACUAAUAGUUUAAGACACCACACCAUGUACUGGAGCAGUGUUUUCAAGUGGCACCACGCAGAGUCUUGUGAUUGCUCGUUUGAGAACUCCAUUGGACGUACGAAUGGUGGCAAUCCGCACAACUCCAUCAUUUCCAGGAUGAACUGCAAGGACUCGUCCCAUCAACCAUUUACCAGGAGGGAUGCGAAAUAUUCAACGGACCAUCUUUUCCAAAAUACUUGCUGUAUAUGUUGUAGUAACUGGAAUCGUGAUAACUUUCCCAACGGAAUCGUAUCGAGACUUGGGUCUGGCACCAUGGUGAUCGACUUACCAAUCAAAAAAUGUGAGGGGGUAAGGGGUUGCAUAUCAUUUGGAUCGGACGACUUUGCAUAAAGAGGACGGAAAUUCAGUGUUGCUUCUAUCUGAACUACUAUAGUUUGCAGUUCUUCAAACAAAAGGUAUAAUAUACAUCUAGCGUCCACAGGAAACUACAGCCAUCGCAACUAAACCACAUAGCCGCCAAUCGCAUCGUGCACUACACGACCACCUACAGCCGACCAACAACAUUUCCAGCGUCCAUAUCACUCCACAGGCCCAAACCAUGAUCUUCAGCUCCAUCCAGUCAUCACACAUCAAAGUAAUUUUUUGUAUUACGUAUACAGUACUAAAUAUACAGGCUGAUUCAAAUUCGAAGGCCACCAUGGGGAUCUCGGGAACUGUAAGA